CACAAGGAUGAAGAGUGCUCAUUAUAUUCUGACACCUCUUGUUUGAGAUGCAUCAAAAGAUUCAUCUUUGAGCAUGUAAAGCAACUGUGAGUC
rnacentral:snoRNA from 1 species